rnacentral:rRNA from 1 species
UACGUAGGGUCCGAGCGUUAAUCGGAAUUACUGGGCGUAAAGCGCACGCAGGCGGUCGGCUGCGUAGGUGGUGACAGUCCUCGGCUUACCUGAGGAAGCGCUGCCUAAACGGGUCGACUUGAGGACCAGAGAGGGACACGGAACUCCGGGUGGAGCGGUGAAAUGCGUAGAGAUCCGGAAGAACACCAAAGGCGAAGGCAGUGUCCUGGCUGGCUCCUGACGCUCAGGUGCGAAAGCUAGGGGAGCAAACAGG